rnacentral:rRNA from 1 species
GAUGAACGCUGGCGGCGUGCUUAACACAUGCAAGUCGAACGAAGCUGCUUAAAGGAAGUUUUUGGAUGGAAUUUAGGUAGACUUAGUGGCGGACGGGUGAGUAACGCGUGGAUAACCUGCCUUAUACAGGGGGAUAACGGAGAGAAAUUUCCGCUAACACCGCAUAAGACCACAGCACCGCAUGGUGCAGGGGUAAAAUAUUUAUAGGUAUAAGAUGGAUCCGCGUCCGAUUAGCUAGUUGGUGAGGUAGAGGCUCACCAAGGCGACGAUCGGUAGCCGGCCUGAGAGGGUGAACGGCCACAUUGGGACUGAGACACGGCCCAAACUCCUACGGGAGGCAGCAGUGGGGAAUAUUGGACAAUGGGGGAAACCCUGAUCCAGCGACGCCGCGUGAGUGAAGAAGUAUUUCGGUAUGUAAAGCUCUAUCAGCAGGGAAGAAAAUGACGUACCUG